rnacentral:lncRNA from 1 species
CCAUCCUUUGAUGAUGCACUGCCAUAGUUGUGAGGUUGAGAACUAAAGGAAGCGAUGAACUGUUUCAUAUGUUUUGGGGUAAGAGAAGAUGAUCUUGAAGAUGUUAUGACAUCUAGAUUAUUCUGUUCAGUCUGAGUGGUUAUGAUCGCAUUAGCAGAACGUGAAGUGUUCUAAGGAUAUGUUUUCUUUGGAGGAUAAAAAUUCAUUUUAAUUUAAGACUUAGAGGAUAUCUAUGAAUCUUGUAACAUAGAUCGACCACAUGACCAACACCACCACAUUGUGUGCUUACUGGGCAAGAUUUACCAUAGUGUGAAUUAGAGGAAACUUGGAAAGUAACAAUAUCAACUCCAGUGUGAGAAGAAUUCCUUGCAGACCUCACUAUCUUCUACAAUCGCAAUGCUUAUAUGAACAUAUUUGUAUAAUUUGGAAAGUAACAAUAUCACAGCUUGAUUUGAAUACCAUGAAGCAUCA